CAGUAGCCGCGGUAAUACGUAGGUGGCAAGCGUUGUCCGGAAUUAUUGGGCGUAAAGGGCUCGCAGGCGGUUUCUUAAGUCUGAUGUGAAAGCCCCCGGCUCAACCGGGGAGGGUCAUUGGAAACUGGGAAACUUGAGUGCAGAGGAGGAGAGUGGAAUUCCACGUGUAGCGGUGAAAUGCGUAGAGAUGUGGAGGAACACCAGUGGCGAAGGCGACUCUCUGGUCUGUAACUGACGCUGAGGAGCGAAAGCGUGGGGAGCGAACAGGAUUAGAGACCCGCGUAGUCCCUGUCUCUUAUAC
rnacentral:rRNA from 1 species